CCAAUAGCGUAUAUUAAAGUUGUUGCAGUUAAAAAGCUCGUAGUUGAACUUCAGGCCUGGCUGGACGGUCCGCCUUCCGGGCGAGCACUGUCUGUGGUCGGGUCCUACCUUCUGGCGAAGCGUCAUGGCCUUAACCGGCCGUGGCGGGGAACCAGGACUUUUACUGUGAAAAAAUUAGAGUGUUCAAAGCAGGCAAUUCGCUUGGAUACAUUAGCAUGGAAUAAUGGAAUAGGACAAUGGUUCUAUUUGUUGGUUUCUAGGACUGUUGUAAUUAUUAAUAGGGAUAGGUGGGGGCAUUAGUAUUCAAUUGUCAGAGGUGAAAUUCUUGGAUUUAUUGAAGACUAACUACUGCGAAAGCAUUUGCCAAGGAUGUUUUCAUUAAUCAAGAACGAAAGUUAGGUGAUCGAAGACGAUCAGAUACCGUCGUAGUCUUAACCAUAAACUAUGCCGACUAGGAAUCGGGCGAUGUUGACAAAAUGACGCGCUCGGCACCUCAUG
rnacentral:rRNA from 1 species